CCUACGGGCGGCAGCAGUGGGGAAUAUUGGACAAUGGGGGGAACCCUGAUCCAGCCAUGCCGCGUGUGUGAAGAAGGCCCUCGGGUUGUAAAGCACUUUCAGUGAGGAAGAACGCCUGGUGGUUAAUACCCAUCAGGAAAGACAUCACCCACAGAAGAAGCACCGGCUAACUCCGUGCCAGCAGCCGCGGUAAUACGGGGGGUGCGAGCGUUAAUCGGAAUUACUGGGCGUAAAGCGCGCGUAGGUGGCUUGAUAAGCCGGUUGUGAAAGCCCCGGGCUCAACCUGGGAACGGCAUCCGGAACUGUCAAGCUAGAGUGCAGGAGAGGAAGGUAGAAUUCCCGGUGUAGCGGUGAAAUGCGUAGAGAUCGGGAGGAAUACCAGUGGCGAAGGCGGCCUUCUGGACUGACACUGACACUGAGGUGCGAAAGCGUGGGUAGCAAACAGGAUUAGAUACCCGGGUAGUC
rnacentral:rRNA from 1 species